rnacentral:lncRNA from 1 species
AUGUCGUUCCCAAAGUAUACUCUAUCACGCCUGGCCACUGUGCCCCCGACCCUCAACCCAGCCGAAUACAACAUAUCUCCGGACACCCGACGGGCGCAAGUUGAGCAGUUGGCCAUAAGAGCCGGGCUGAAAUGAGAGUACCUGCUUCAGUACAACAACCCCAACCGCAGAGGGCUCAUCGAAGAUCCUGCCUUGAUUCGUUGGACCUAUGCAAGAUCAGCAAAUGUCUAUCCUAAUUUCAGACCCACUCCUAAAAACUCACUCUUGGGCGCUCUGUGUGCAUUUGGGCCCCUCUUCUUCUGGUAUUGUGUUUUCAAAACUGACAUGGAUAGAAAAGAAAAACUUAUCCGGGAAGGAAAAUUGGAUCAAACAUUUAACCUCUCAUAUUAA